rnacentral:rRNA from 1 species
UUGAACGCUGGCGGAAUGCUUUACACAUGCAAGUCGAACGGCAGCACGGGGGCAACCCUGGUGGCGAGUGGCGAACGGGUGAGUAAUGUAUCGGAACGUACCCAGUCGUGGGGGAUAACUAUCCGAAAGGAUAGCUAAUACCGCAUACGUCCUGAGGGAGAAAGCGGGGGAUCGCAAGACCUCGCGCGAUUGGAGCGGCCGAUAUCGGAUUAGCUAGUUGGUGGGGUAAAGGCCUACCAAGCCUGCGAUCUGUAGCUGGUCUGAGAGGACGACCAGCCACACUGGGACUGAGACACGGCCCAGACUCCUACGGGAGGCAGCAGUGGGGAAUUUUGGACAAUGGGCGAAAGCCUGAUCCAGCCAUGCCGCGUGCGGGAAGAAGGCCUUCGGGUUGUAAACCGCUUUUGUCAGGGAAGAAAUCCUUUGAGCUAAUACCUCGGAGGGAUGACGGUACCUGAAGAAUAAGCACCGGCUAACUACGU